rnacentral:rRNA from 1 species
UACAGAGGUCCCAAGCGUUGUUCGGAUUCACUGGGCGUAAAGGGCGCGUAGGUGGUGAGGUAAGUCGGAUGUGAAAGCUCGGAGCUCAACUCCGAAAUGGCAUUGGAAACUACCUUGCUCGAGGGUUGGAGGGGGGACUGGAAUGCUUGGUGUAGCAGUGAAAUGCGUAGAUAUCAAGCGGAACACCAGUGGCGAAGGCGAGUCCCUGGACAACUCCUGACACUGAGGCACGAAAGCUAGGGGAGCAAACGGG